UACAGAGGGUGCAAGCGUUGUUCGGAAUUAUUGGGCGUAAAGCGCGUGUAGGCGGCAUGGCAAGUCGGGUGUGAAAGCCCUCAGCUUAACUGAGGAAGUGCGCCCGAAACUGCCGUGCUUGAGUGCCGGAGAGGGUGGCGGAAUUCCCCAAGUAGAGGUGAAAUUCGUAGAUAUGGGGAGGAACACCGGUGGCGAAGGCGGCCACCUGGACGGUAACUGACGCCGAGACGCGAAAGCGUGGGGAGCAAACAGG
rnacentral:rRNA from 1 species